GCCAAAAUGCUCGAAUUUCAUCAUAAUUUACGGGCAUUGCCACUGACCCAAUAUUCAAUACCCAAAUCUCCACGCGCUCGGGAUCGUCUACUUUGACCUCUGCUUCAAAUUCGACGUCGUUCCGACCUUCGAGCGCCGCCCGGCCGGAAAUCAAGGAGAUCCGCCAACUGCUUCGGAUCGAGCGAGCGAGAACAGAAAGAGGUGGAGACCGAUCUCCACCGCUCUUGGGUUCGCGUAAGUAGUAGUACUAGUACUAGUGGUUUCGUUUUUGUUUUCGUUUUCUCUGUGUAUUGGAAUUCGGAUACUGGAAGAUUCGAUUUGCUGUGCUUGAUGUGCAGAGGCUGUAGCUUUAUGGAGGCGAUUGAUGCAGUUGACAAUGGGAUCAAUCAGUAUGACACAGACCAGCCUCCAAGAUAUGUGAAUAAUACACACUUAUCUUCAAGGGUGGGGAGGUUGAAUUUGGACUGGAUAGAUCCUGAUCAAUCAUUUGAGAAGGAGAAUGAAGCCUUUCAAGAGCAAUGGCUCUAGCUGGCAGUGAAUUUUAAGAUUAGCAGAACUGGACGAGUAUGAGUGCAGUAGCAGAAUUGGAUGAGUGCAGUAGCAGGAUUAGGCGAUGACGAGUGCAACAGUAGAACACGAGUACAACUGCAGUAGCAGAACUGGACUGAGUAUGAGUGCAGCGAGUGCAGUAGCAGAAUUGAACGAGUGCAGUAGCAGGAUUAGGCGAUGAUGAGUGCAGUAACAGAACACGAGUACAAGUGCAGUAGUAGAACUGGACGAGUACGAGUGCAGUAGCAUGAUUGGACGAGUACAGUAGCAGGAUUAGGCGAUGACGAGUGCAAUAGCUGUAGAUACCUUUCACUAGCAUGACUAAUUUACUAUCUCACCAAGCAUAAGUAACACCCUCUUUGAGGGACCCACAAGCCAUGGUGGGACCCAACCGCGACAUGUAUCCCGUAGCCCGAUGUCCAAGCUACGUCGUGAUAGUCGGAAGCGGCAAAUACCUCGCCGAGAAGCCACCUUUCCAGCAUUGCCAAGUUGCCUCCAUAAUGAGCCUUUAUGCACUAGAAUAGGACUUUAGCAUCCCAAAUUGGAAAACUUGUAAAGGAGAGUGGCUCCCUUCCUUAUAAAAGGAAUCACUCCUCCCACUUAGAAUCCAUCCCAUUACAACACCUCUUGUAAUCAUGUUGGGUCGCAAUGCCCAAACAUAUAGUAAAUCUUUCAAGUGGACGUAGUCUCCCGCCUUAGCGGGAGACGAACCACUAUACAUAA